rnacentral:tRNA from 1 species
GGGCGGAUAGCUCAGCUGGGAGAGCACUUGCCUUACAAGCAAGGGGUCACAGGUUCGAGCCCUGUUUCGCCCACCA